AAUCUGGAGGAUAGAUGAAAAAAUGUGUGAACUUGAAGAUAGAUCCAUAGAAAUUAGCCAAUCUGAAGAAUAGAGAGAAAA